AUCUAGCUGAAGAGUCCCAAAUAGGACGAAACGUGCGUCCUGGAU
rnacentral:hammerhead_ribozyme from 1 species